AGCAGCCGCGGUAAUUCCAGCUCCAAUAGCGUAUAUUAAAGUUGUUGCAGUUAAAAAGCUCGUAGUUGAAUUUCGGGGUUAGUAGGUUGGUCAUGCCUCUGGUAUGUACUGGUCUCACUGAUUCCUCCUUCCUGAUGAGCCGUAAUGCCAUUAAUUUGGUGUUGCGGGGAAUUUGGACUGUUACUUUGAAAAAUUGAGUGUUUAAAGCAAGCUAACGCUUGAAUACAUUAGCAUGGAAUAAUGAAAUAGGACGUUCGAUCCUAUUUUGUUGGUUUCUAGGAUUGACGUAAUGAUUAAUAGGGAUGGUUGGGGGCAUUAGUAUUCAAUUGUCAGAGGUGAAAUUCUUGGAUUUAUUGAAGACUAACUACUGCGAAAGCAUUUGCCAAGGAUGUUUUCAUUAAUCAAGAACGAAAGUUAGGGGAUCGAAGACGAUCAGAUACCGUCGUAGUACUUAACCAUAAACUAUGCCGACUAGGGAUCGGAUGAUGUUAAUUUUAAUGACUCAUUCGGCGCCUUAAC
rnacentral:misc_RNA from 1 species